rnacentral:rRNA from 1 species
AGAAUAGUUCACAAUGGGGGCAACCCUGAUGGUGCAACGCCGCGUGGAGGAUGACGGUCUUCGGAUUGUAAACUCCUGUCAUCUGGGAGUAAGGCAUGGUUGUUAAUAGCAAACAUGAUUGAUAGUACCAGAAGCGGCAGAGACGGCUAACUUCGUGCCAGCAGCCGCGGUAAUACGAAGGUCCCAAGCGUUGUUCGGAAUCACUGGGCGUAAAGGGAGCGUAGGCGGCGUGGUAAGUCAUAUGUGAAAUCCCGGGGCUCAACCCCGGAACUGCAUCCGAUACUGCCAUGCUAGAGGAUUUGAGAGUUAGCUGGAAUUCUUGGUGUAGCAGUGAAAUGCGUAGAGAUCAAGAGGAACACUCGUGGCGAAAGCGAGCUACUGGACAAUUCCUGACGCUGAGGCUCGAAGGCUAGGGUAGCGAAA